AUUGAACGCUGGCGGCAGGCUUAACACAUGCAAGUCGAGCGAGCGGCGGACGCGUGAGUAUUGCCUGGGAAACUGCCUGCUGGAGGGGGAUAACUACUGGAAACGGUAGCUAAUACCGCAUACCAUCAGAUGUGCCCAGAUGGGGUUAGCUAGUAGGUGGGGUAAUGGCUCACCUAGGCGACGAUCCCUAGCUGGUCUGAGAGGAUGACCAGCCACACGGGAACUGAGACGCGGUACAGACUACUACGAGAGGCAGCAGUGGGGAAUAUUGCACAAUGGGCGCAGGCCUGAUGCAGCCAUGCCGCGUGUGUGAAGAAGGCCUUCGGGUUGUAAAGCACAAUCAGCGAGGAGGAGUUACUCGCAGAAGAAGCACCGGCUAACUCCGUGCCAGCAGCCGCGGUAAUUC
rnacentral:rRNA from 1 species